GACCGAUAGUGUUCAAAGUGUUGUCCAUUUUCGCGGUUUUUUUCCGUGUUGGAACUUGGAUGGACCAUUUGCUUUGGAUAUUUGGGCAAUUUUGAUUGCCGACAACGAAUUGAGGCCACCAACUUUCACCAAAAGUACUUAACGCACGUUUUCACGUACUCUUCAUGCACAACCAUGGUACAAAUGGUAGGACGAUACUCUCAUAUCGACGCAAAAAAUUGCGAAAUAAAGACUUCGCCUUAAUCACAUUUGACUAACUACCAUUUCUGUAUAAUUGUCGACACAAUAGACAAUACCUCUGUGCAGCUCCCCCACCGAGGAAAUGAAAAAACCUCCAACAACAACAAGACGGCCAGUUCUCUAUAAGCAUUUAAAACACCUGUGGUAUCUGCUUCAAACUGAAACAGGGUUUAUCAGUUUAUUCAGAAUAAGUCGAUCACAGAGCAGCGCACUACGACAGGAAACAAUGUUGCAUCUCACCAAGUAUCUGAUAACGAUUAUUUUGGUGAUAUCAGAGUUUACGCCGUCUCUGACUGCAGAACCACUUCGUAAUCAUACUGUUUGCGAUAGUACGAAAUGCGUGUUACCAGACUGUUUAUGCAUGAGCACAAGCCCUGCAAUGGGAUUGAAUCCGAAGGAAAUUCCGCAAAUAGUAUUUCUCACGUUUUACGAUGCCUUGAAUUACUGUGGAUGUAUCCUACGUACCAAAAAAUACUCGGAAACAGAACCAAUCCC